UACGUAGGGGGCGAGCGUUGUCCGGCGUUACUGGGCGUACAGCGCUUGUAGGCGGUCCACCAAGUUUGGGGUGACAGUUGCCGACUUAAUCGGCAAAGUGCCUCAAAGACUGGCGGACUUGAGGGCCACAGAGGGACAUGGAACUCCAGGUGUAGUGGUGAAAUGCGUAGAUAUCUGGAAGAACACCAAAGGCGAAGGCAGUGUCCUGGGUGGUCGCUGACGCUGAGAGGCGAAAGCCAGGGGAGCGAACGGG
rnacentral:rRNA from 1 species